GACGAACGCUGGCGGCGUGCUUAACACAUGCAAGUCGAACGGAAAGGCCUCUUUCUUGUGGUACUCGAGUGGCGAACGGGUGAGUAACACGUGAGUAACCUGCCCUUGACUUUGGGUUAACUUCAGGAAACUGGGGCUAAUACCGCAUAGGAGCUCCUGCUCCAUGGUGGGGGUUGGAAAGUUUCGGCGGUUGGGGAUGGACUCACGGCUUAUCAGCUUGUUGGUGGGGUAGUUGCUUACCAAGGCUUUGACGGGUAGCCGGGCUGAGAGGGUGGACGGCCACAUUGGGACUGAGAUACGGCCCAGACUCCUACGGGAGGCAGCAGUGGGGAAUAUUGCACAAUGGGUGGAAGCAUGAUGCAGCAACGCCGUGUGCGGGAUGACGGCCUUCGGGUUGUAAACCGCUUUCGCUCAUGACGAAGCUUUGUGUGACGGUAGUGGGUAAAGAAGCACCGGCUAACUACGUG
rnacentral:rRNA from 1 species